CGCGUGCACUGGUCCGGGCCGGGCCUUUCCCUCUGCGGAACCCCAUGCCCUUCACUGGGUGUGGCGGGGAAACAGGACUUUUACUUUGAAAAAAUUAGAGUGCUCAAGGCAGGCCUAUGCUCGAAUACAUUAGCAUGGAAUAAUAGAAUAGGACGUGUGGUUCUAUUUUGUUGGUUUCUAGGACCGCCGUAAUGAUUAAUAGGGACAGUCGGGGGCAUCAGUAUUCAAUUGUCAGAGGUGAAAUUCUUGGAUUUAUUGAAGACUAACUACUGCGAAAGCAUUUGCCAAGGAUGUUUUCAUUAAUCAGGAACGAAAGUUAGGGGAUCGAAGACGAUCAGAUACCGUCGUAGUCUUAACCAUAAACUAUGCCGACUAGGGAUCGGACGAUGUUACAUUUUUGACGCGUUCGGCACCUUACGAGAAAUCAAAGUGCUUGGGCUCCAGGGGGAGUAUGGUCGCAAGGCUGAAACUUAAAGAAAUUGACGGAAGGGCACCACCAGGGGUGGAGCCUGCGGCUUAAUUUGACUCAACACGGGGAAACUCACCAGGUCCAGACACAAUGAGGAUUGACAGAUUGAGAGCUCUUUCUUGAUUUUGUGGGUGGUGGUGCAUGGCCGUUCUUAGUUGGUGGAGUGAUUUGUCUGCUUAAUUGCGAUAACGAACGAGACCUUAACCUGCUAAAUAGCCCGUAUUGCUUUGGCAGUACGCUGGCUUCUUAGAGGGACUAUCGG
rnacentral:rRNA from 1 species